GAUGAACGCUGGCGGCGUGCCUAAUACAUGCAAGUCGAGCGAAUGGAUUAAGAGCUUGCUCUUAUGAAGUUAGCGGCGGACGGGUGAGUAACACGUGGGUAACCUGCCCAUAAGACUGGGAUAACUCCGGGAAACCAGGGCUAAUACCGGAUAACAUUUUGAACCGCAUGGUUCGAAAUUGAAAGGCGGCUUCGGCUGUCACUUAUGGAUGGACCCGCGUCGCAUUAGCUAGUUGGUGAGGUAACGGCGCACCAAGGCAACGAUGCGUAGCCGACCUGAGAGGGUGAUCGGCCACAUUGGGACUGAGACACGGCCCAGACUCCUACGGGAGGCAGCAGUAGGGAAUCUUCCGCAAUGGACGAAAGUCUGACGGAGCAACGCCGCGUGAGUGAUGAAGGCUUUCGGGUCGUAAAACUCUGUUGUUAGGGAAGAACAAGUGCCAGUUGAAUAAGCUGGCACCUUGACGGUACCUAACCAGAAAGCCACGGCUAACUACGUGCCAGCCGCCGCGGUAA
rnacentral:rRNA from 1 species